GUAAUAAUCCUGUAGUCGAAAAUGUUGUCUCUCUUGAGUGGAUCCUGAGUACGACGGAGCACGUGAAAUUCCGUCGGAAUCUGGGAGGACCAUCUCCUAAGGCUAAAUACUCUCUAGUGACCGAUAGUGAACCAGUACCGUGAGGGAAAGGUGAAAAGCACCCCGGAAGGGGAGUGAAAUAGAACCUGAAACCGUGUGCUUACAAGUAGUCAGAGCCCGUUAAUGGGUGAUGGCGUGCCUUUUGUAGAAUGAACCGGCGAGUUACGAUUUGAUGCAAGGUUAAGCAGUAAAUGUGGAGCCGUAGCGAAAGCGAGUCUGAAUAGGGCGUUUAGUAUUUGGUCGUAGACCCGAAACCAGGUGAUCUACCCUUGGUCAGGUUGAAGUUCAGGUAACACUGAAUGGAGGACCGAACCGACUUACGUUGAAAAGUGAGCGGAUGAACUGAGGGUAGCGGAGAAAUUCCAAUCGAACCUGGAGAUAGCUGGUUCUCUCCGAAAUAGCUUUAGGGCUAGCCUCAAGUGAUGAUUAUUGGAGGUAGAGCACUGUUUGGACGAGGGGCCCCUCUCGGGUUACCGAAUUCAGACAAACUCCGAAUGCCAAUUAAUUUAACUUGGGAGUCAGAACAUGGGUGAUAAGGUCCGUGUUCGAAAGGGAAACAGCCCAGACCACCAGCUAAGGUCCCAAAAUAUAUGUUAAGUGGAAAAGGAUGUGGCGUUGCCCAGACAACUAGGAUGUUGGCUUAGAAGCAGCCAUCAUUUAAAGAGUGCGUAAUAGCUCACUAGUCGAGUGACACUGCGCCGAAAAUGUACCGGGGCUAAACAUAUUACCGAAGCUGUGGAUUGUCCUUUGGACAAUGGUAGGAGAGCGUUCU
rnacentral:rRNA from 1 species